GUGUUCCUUUGGCAGCACAUAUACUAAAACAGAAUCAAUACAGAGAAGAUUAGCAUGGCCCCUGCCCAAGAAUGACAUGCAAAUUCAUAGAGUAUUCCAUAUUUGG
ensembl:snRNA U6 U6 spliceosomal RNA